UUGCCAGACUCCUACGGGAGGCAGCAGUGGGGAAUAUUGCACAAUGGGGGGAACCCUGAUGCAGCGACGCCGCGUGGGUGAAGGAGCACCUCGGUGCGUAAAGCCCUAUCGGCAGGGAAGAAACAGACGGUACCUGACUAAGAAGCCCCGGCUAACUACGUGCCAGCAGCCGCGGGAAUACGUAGGUGGCAAGCGUUGUCCGGAUUUACUGGGUGUAAAGGGCGUGUAGGCGGGAAAGCAAGUCAGAUGUGAAAACCAUGGGCUCAACCUGUGGCCUGCAUUUGAAACUGUUUUUCUUGAGUACUGGAGAGGCAGACGGAAUUCCUAGUGUAGCGGUGAAAUGCGUAGAUAUUAGGAGGAACACCAGUGGCGAAGGCGGUCUGCUGGACAGCAACUGACGCUGAGGCGCGAAAGCGUGGGGAGCAAACAGGAUUAGAUACCCCAGUA
rnacentral:rRNA from 1 species